GAGUUAUCUAAGGAAAUAGUAGCCGUGAUUUAACAUAACAAAUCCUUUACAUAUCACAGUUGCUGUUUCUUUUAGAUAGCUC
rfam:Drosophila persimilis strain MSH-3 cont1.000059, whole genome shotgun sequence.